rnacentral:rRNA from 1 species
CCAAUAGCGUAUAUUAAAGUUGUUGUAGUUAAAAAGCUCGUAGUUGAAUUUCGGGAUCAAGGAAUCGGUCAUGCCUUGGUAUGUACUGGUUUUAUUGGUUCUCACCUUCUAAAGAACCAUAAUGUCAUUUAUUUGAUGUUAUGGGGAAUUAGGACUGUUACCUUGAAAAAAUUAGAGUGUUUAAAGCAGGCUUACGCUUGAAUACAUUAGCAUGGAAUAAUGAAAUAGGACGUUUGAUUCUAUUUUGUUGGUUUCUAGGAUCGACGUAAUGAUUAAUAGGGAUAGUUGGGGGCAUUAGUAUUCAAUUGUCAGAGGUGAAAUUCUUGGAUUUAUUGAAGACUAACUACUGCGAAAGCAUUUGCCAAGGAUGUUUUCAUUAAUCAAGAACGAAAGUUAGGGGAUCGAAGACGAUCAGAUACCGUCGUAGUCUUAACCAUAAACUAUGCCGACUAGGGAUCGGAUGAUGUUAAUUUUUUAAUGACUCAUUCGGCGCCUUACG